rnacentral:rRNA from 1 species
UGCAAGUCUCAACGCUUCUUUUUCCACCGGAGCUUGCUCCACCGGAAAAAGAGGAGUGGCGAACGGGUGAGUAACACGUGGGUAACCUGCCCAUCAGAAGGGGAUAACACUUGGAAACAGGUGCUAAUACCGUAUAACAAUCAAAACCGCAUGGUUUUGAUUUGAAAGGCGCUUUCGGGUGUCGCUGAUGGAUGGACCCGCGGUGCAUUAGCUAGUUGGUGAGGUAACGGCUCACCAAGGCCACGAUGCAUAGCCGACCUGAGAGGGUGAUCGGCCACAUUGGGACUGAGACACGGCCCAAACUCCUACGGGAGGCAGCAGUAGGGAAUCUUCGGCAAUGGACGAAAGUCUGACCGAGCAACGCCGCGUGAGUGAAGAAGGUUUUCGGAUCGUAAAACUCUGUUGUUAGAGAAGAACAAGGAUGAGAGUAACUGUUCAUCCCUUGACGGUAUCUAACCAGAAAGCCACGGCUAACUACGUGCCAGCAGCCGCGGUAAUAC